ensembl:lncRNA
UUUUAGAGGAGUUUUAGAGGAGUUUUAGAGGAGUUUUAGAGGGGUUUUAGAGGAGUUUUAGAGGAGUUUUAGAGGAGUUUGCUUUCUGUGGUUUUUCACUAACGUGAUAAACUUCUUUGUAACUUCGACUUGCUUUGCAGAGUUUGAGUUUCAUUAUGUAACGCAUUUAAACACUUUGGGAUGUGCAGCUGAUAGAAAAUGAUUUGUUUCAGGUAACUCAGCUUAACUGUUGUUGAUUAUUUUACUAUAACGGCGUGACAGGGAGCGUUAAAACUGAUUUCAAUCCAAUCCAGGAUGACAGAGAUACAUUUUAAGUGUGUUUACAGUUAC